CCCAUAACCCCUGCCCACUAGUGAACCCCUUCCUCAGCUCUGGGACUGAUUGUCUUCAAGCUGAGCACACACUGAGCACUGGGCCUGCCUUCUUCCUAACACAGGUUUUUGUAAGCUCCAGACAUUGGAUAAAGCAUUUUGAGGGAUAGGUGAAAACGAAAUCCUGCCCUUUACUCUUGAGAACUCACUCUGCUGUGGGAGGAGAGACAGGCAGGAAUCUGCAUCUAGCAAGCCUUCCAGAGGAUUCUGCUAGUGCUUCGGUUUGAGAACCAGUGCUCCUGACUUUGGUUGGCCAUUGGUGUCUGUCUGAAGAGGGUCUCCACUGCCCCAGGCAUGUUCCUUCUCUCACUGCUGCCCCCUGGGAUGGAAACUCGACAUCCCCUCUUUCCCUUCCUACUGGCACCAACGGUACCAGAGCAAACCCCACAAUCUCCAUGCCUACAUUUCUUUGACAUCCACCUGUCACCAUCUUUGGAGGAUUCAAGUGAAGUUCUUUGUCUUUUAUGGGACAGAGCUGUUUUCUAAAGUCAUAGUAACAUUCUCGGUCAAUGUAAGAUAAAAUGACUGGGAAUUUCACUUUUAAAAAUAGGUAUAUCAAAGGGAAAAAUAGUAACAGUUCUGGUGGAGAGACCUGGUGAGCAACACCUUAAACCAAGUGAUGAAAGCUGAAAUCAGCAACACUGGGAUGAACCUGCAUCACGUAAUAGCGGAUGUGAUGCCCUGACAAGAGCACCAGUCCUGUUUGCAGCAUCACUGCCCCAGAUGCAUGCCUGAAUCUGUUCCUUAGGAUACAUCAGGAAACCCAAGCUGAGGAAUGUUCUACUAAAUAAAUGAUCUCUACUCUUCAAAAACAUGCGGGUCAAGUGACAGGUGCCGAGGAGAGGGAGAGGGUCUAGGAAGACCCUAGUUGGGACAAUUGGCAGCAUUCAAAUGUGGCCUGUGCAUUUCAUACUGGUACUGUUCAAUGUGAAAUUUCUUGAUUUUUGUAAGAUUCUCCCUGGGGCCUGAUAGCUUAAAGGGAUGAGUAACUCCUCCCUUCUCAGGCCCAGUCCCAAGGUGCAAGACCACUUGCAUCAGCAGCCUGUGCCAGCAAGAUAGCAGAAGCAGGAAGAGAGCCGGCCAGAAGACACGUACCCCUGAAGAUUGAGAAACAGGCCAUCCGGGUACAACGUAGCAAUUACGUCAGACUAGGACACUUCCUGUUUAAAGGAGACUAUAAAACCUUUGUCCUGUCCUCACUUGGGGCUGACGCCAUUUUAGGCCUCAGCCCGCCUGCACCCAGGCGCUCAUUAAAACAGCAUGUUGCUCCACAUCGCCUCGUGUUGUCUGUUGGCACGCUCUCGGGAUUCGAACCGAUACAAGAACCUUACAAUUUUCUUUAUGUAAGAGAAUGUCCUUGUUCUUAAGAAAAGCCAGCUGAAAUAUUUAGAGAGUAAGUUUGCAGGAUGUCUAUAACUUACUGUCAAGUGUUUUAGACAGGAAGAGAAUCACAUAAUGGAAAAUGUAAACAAGUGAAUGUGAGAAAGGAGUACAUGAAAGUCUUUGAACUAUUGUUACAACUUUUCUGUGGAAAUUUACUUUUCAAAAGUGCGUAUAGACAUAUAGGAAGAACAAUUUUAGUAACUAACAUAGUUAUUUUUUAGUAGUGAGAUGAUGGGUAGUAUUUCUUUUAAAAAGAUCUGCUUUUCCCCAAAUAUUCUGUAACAAGCAUGAACUAUACUUGAAAUCAGAAAAAAAAUGAAAUGAUAAAGACAAUUGUUUCUUUUCAUACAUACUGCAAUGUAGCACAUGAAACUGAGAUCGGAGAGACCAAAAUAGAUGCCCUUUAUCAACUAAGGUGGACUUUAAGGUUAAGAAAACAGAAAAGUUUUCUUCUCUGGUGGAGCAACUCCUUAAAUUCCUAGGGCUACAAGAAAAGCACACCCUUGCUAAACUCCCUAACAAUAAGAGCUAUCAGGCAAAUUCCUACCUCCGAUUUACAACCCAGACCACCACAACUCUGAUUGGACAGAGGACCUUAGAAACAUUCUUUUCUGAUAAGCAACUGAAGACGUCAAAUCAGUUCCAGCAGCUUACAGAGACUGGGCACACAUUGUGUUUGUCUCCUACAGUUCACUUUUUGAUGGAAAAAGCCACAUUCUACCUUAUUUUUAUGCUGAAACCCCACCCCAAAGGGAGCACGGAAUGCAUGGUAAUACAUCUGUGCCUAUUGUGCGUGUGCUCACCUCCCCUCUCCACAUGCAUAGCUUUCCCCCAAACCUACUGAGUACAUGUAACUCUAUCGUGUGAUACAGGCCCUGUGAGACAUAAAAUCCAUUCUGCCCCUUCCCUCUUCAAAGAGAGAGCGCCAAUGUCAUAUGCUGGAGACAGUCUCUUCCUGGUUUGCAAACUUAUAUUGCCAGUGUAACUGAAAUAAAUCCAUGAACGAGGCACAGGGCUAGUCAAUCCGCCAAGACACCAAUUCACAAAGAGAAGGAGAUUGAAUCCUAGGACCCUGAUCUAGAAGAUGGGAAGGAACCUUAAAUCCAUCUCUCCAAGUGUACAAUUCUCUCUGGGGCCUGAAAGCUUAAGGAGAUGAAUGACUCCUCCCUUCUCAGGCCCAGUCCCAGGGCGCAAGGCCACUUGUGUCAGCAGCGUGCAUCAGCAAGUCAGCAGAAGCAGGAAGAGAGCCGGCCAGAAGACACCUACCCUGGCCGGAAGACAGGUACCCCUGAAGAUCGAGAAAGAGGCCGUCUGUGUACAAUGUAGCAGUUACAUUAUACUAGGACACUUCCUGUUUACAGGAGACUGUAAAACCUAUGCCCCGUCCUCACUUGGGGCUGACUCCAUUUUAGGCCUCAGCCUGCCUGCACGCAGGCACUCAUUAGAACAGCAUAUUGCUCCACACUGCCUCCUGUUGUCUGUUGGCGUGCUCUGGGGGUUUGAACCGAUACAAGAACCUUACACCGAGGAGUUUGGUAUAAGGGAUGUUAACGGUUUUGGAGUGGGCUGAAGUGUGGGGACGGUUGGUUGGUUGAAAAGUGCAGGGUGAAGUCAUGGGAUGGGGAAGUGGUGAAACUGUUUCUCAUGCUGAUUCUGUUCUUCUAUGGGGGUCUUCAUGCUGGUGGGUGUUUAGUAGGAAUCUGGGAUCUGGAAAACACCCUAGGCAGUUCUUAAACAAAAGCCUUAUGAUUCUAACAUCAGAAAUCCUAUUCAUAGGAACAAUAGGGAUGCCAGUGGUCAGUAUCAGUGCUGCAUGACUUUCAGUUACAAGGAAGUGGGUCAAAGUGCAGGCUGAUUAAUGCUUAAUUAUAACUCUAUUUCUGUCCAGAAUUCUUGCUAACCCUGUGAGGAUGGCUUCACCAAUAAAAUACUCCUUUCUACUAUUUAGCCAUCCUAGUGGUCUUUUGAAUGAAAAAGAAAGGCUGAGAAAGAUGGAGUAGGGGCCUGCGGUCCCCCACCCCUCACCCCUCACCCCUCAUUCACUUGCUGGUGCUCCCUUCAGCUCCCUUCAGCCCCCAUCACUGGAGCUAGAUGUCCAUGAGCAUUCUGCAUUUUCUCUUCUUUCUGCUGACUAAAGAGUAUCAUGUUUUGCUGGUUUUUCUUCCAUAUUUGCUAUUCUAAGGUGUUAGAAAUGCUUAGAGCCAGAAAGACACACAAGAAACAACUGUGAAAGUUGAUCAUACAAAUCGGGUCAUUCUUAUCAUAUCCAAAUAAAACCGCCAAGAAGCCAAGAGGGAAAGGUGCUCAGGAUGCAUAACAUUGCUCCAAGAAUAUAAUUUUCUGCAAGCCUGGCUGCUGUAACCUGAAACCAGUUUUAUCUAAUAGCUGCUAAAAUGACCUGCUGCAACUCUAAGACCAAUUAUACCCAUUCCAUUACUUACCAAUCAAAAGUUGCCACCUCACCGGAACUGUACUAGUGCCAAUGAACUUUCUCAAAGAGCAAUACAUAACACUUCUCUUUGUUAUAAAACCUCCAACCAUCUCUUUGUUCUUUAGACACACCGAAAACCACCCAAUAUGUGGUCUUGCAAUUCUUUCUUCCCAAAUAAAAUGUUAAAUUUAGAGGUUCAUCUUUACCUUUUAAUUCUUUGACACAACCGAAUAGGACAAAGCAAUGCAUUUAACUUGUUCAACUGUUGAUGAAAUCAUUGCAAAGGCAGCUCUAAUUUUUUUUCAGACCUCAGUCUACUGACAGCAUGAACAGAAAGAGAGGGUCUCUUUCUGCUGGUGCUUCGGUUUGAGAACCAGUGCUCCUGACUUUGGUUGGCCAUUGGUGUCUGUCUGAAGAGGGUCUCCACUGCCCCCAGGCAUGUUCCUUCUCUCACUGCUGCCCCCUGGGAUGGAAACUCGACAUCCCCUCUUUCCCUUCCUACUGGCACCAACGGUACCAGAGCAAACCCCACAAUCUCCAUGCCUACAUUUCUUUGACAUCCACCUGUCACCAUCUUUGGAGGAUUCAAGUGAAGUUCUUUGUCUUUUAUGGGACAGAGAUGAUUCUCCACUCCAGAGGGUCUGGAGUGAUUAUAGGAAUGUAAUCGCCUUGAACAAUCAGCGUGUUUUACAGCCUACUGCCCUGCAUUUUGUGUGGAAUGCAGUUGUCUUAUUGCUUGGAACCAGCUCUCAGUAGACCUCAGCAGCUUAUAGACAAACCCGAGUGAACUUUCCUCAUGACCAUGCUAGUGUCUCCAUCCUGGGAUGAGCCACAGCUUCAUCACCAUAACAUGCAACCUAUGUGCUGGUGUGAUGACUCGCUGUGUCUGCACCACUGAGGCUCCUCCUCCACAUGCCAUGACGCGUCCUCUCUUCUCUCCAUCUCCCCAUGAAGUCCUCCUGUCACUUUCCCUCAGGGAGACAUGGCUUUGGAGAGUACUCCCAACAGCAUGCUUAUUUGUGCCAAGUAAUAAAACUCCUGUUGAUCAAACCUACAGUCUCAAGGAGAUUGAUUUCUUACUUGCCAAGCAAAAGAACCUGGGUUUUUUUUUUGGGGGGGGGUGGUAAAAAUAGUGUCUAAUCC
rnacentral:lncRNA from 1 species